UACGUAGGGGGCUAGCGUUGUUCGGAAUUAUUGGGCGUAAAGCGCACGUAGGCGGUUUGUUAAGUCAGGGGUGAAAUCCUGGAGCUCAACUCCAGAACUGCCUUUGAUACUGGCGAGCUUGAGUUCGGGAGAGGUGAGUGGAACUGCGAGUGUAGAGGUGAAAUUCGUAGAUAUUCGCAAGAACACCAGUGGCGAAGGCGGCUCACUGGCCCGGUACUGACGCUGAGGUGCGAAAGCGUGGGGAGCAAACAGG
rnacentral:rRNA from 1 species